rnacentral:rRNA from 1 species
AUUGAACGCUGGCGGCAUGCUUUACACAUGCAAGUCGAACGGCAGCGCGGGCUUCGGCCUGGCGGCGAGUGGCGAACGGGUGAGUAAUGCAUCGGAACGUGCCCAGUAGUGGGGGAUAGCCCGGCGAAAGCCGGAUUAAUACCGCAUACGACCUGAGGGUGAAAGCGGGGGACCGAAAGGCCUCGCGCUAUUGUAGCGGCCGAUGUCGGAUUAGCUAGUUGGUGGGGUAAAGGCUUACCAAGGCGACGAUCCGUAGCUGGUCUGAGAGGACGACCAGCCACACUGGGACUGAGACACGGCCCAGACUCCUACGGGAGGCAGCAGUGGGGAAUGUUGGACAAUGGGGGCAACCCUGAUCCAGCCAUGCCGCGUGCGGGAAGAAGGCCUUCGGGUUGUAAACCGCUUUUGUUCGGGAAGAAAUCCUCUGGGCUAAUACCCCGGGGGGAUGACGGUACCGGAAGAAUAAGCACCGGCUAACUACGUG